CCCUCCUACGCGUCACCCCCUCCAUCCAGCAUUUUUGCACACUGGCUGUAUGGCGGGGACUGUGUGAGGUGCCGGGGAUACAGUGAUGAAUGAGAGACAGGCUCCUACGGCAAAGAGCUCACGUGCUAGCUUCAGGAGACACAUAAGCAACGGGCAAACAGCGCACAAGAGUGACUGUAACGAUGCAUUGUGGACAAAGAACUAUGAGCAGAUAGGAGGGGUGGAGAGACGAGGAAAGAAGAAAGAAGGCGAGAACAGCUCCAGAACAGUGCGUGUUUGUCACAGGGCUGAAGUACUGGUCUUUAUCCAGAAGCAGCAAGAUGAUUAAAGAAUGGAAAUGGGUCAAGGGUGAAAUGGAUAACGAAAUCUGGCCAAGAGAUAAGCCCAGGGCAUUGCUUAGUGACGAGGAGUCAAAGUCUGGCCCAGAACCUCGCGCGGGGCAGCUCGGCGUGGUAAGCUCCCACCGAGUGCACACAUGCCCCAGUGGAACAGCUCCCUUUCCAUGUCACUCGUUGGUGAACCAUCACGGGGCGGAGGGUGUUAUGUGCUUGUCAUAGUGGAGACAGCCUUUCCAGUUGGGUAAAAACAGUGACUUUCAGUGGCGGACAUACUAAUUCUCCUAACAAUAGAGGCUUCAGACCUUCCUGGGUGAUGGCACAGAGAUUAGAAAGACAGGACGAUAAUGGGGUUUUAGAAGCCCAAACAUUCUCUUUGUACCCAGUGCCCAUUACCAGUAGCCAGAUGCUGUGUUUGAGUACCAUUCCUAGCACCUUUGAUGUUUCUCUCCACUGCAUUUAGUUCUCUUUGUCCUUCCUCUGGCCCGCCUCUGCGGCACUGUUCCGUGCCGUCAGGCCUACACCUACACGGAUUCCUAGAUUGGAGGAAGGCCAACGCUGGAGCUCAGGCUGGC